rnacentral:tRNA from 1 species
UGCUGGCCGAGCUGCUGGGCGAGCACGGCGAUGUCAUCGCCGCGACGCCGAUCGCGUCGGUAGCCGACGA